UAAUAGUCCUGCUCACAGAGAGAGAGAGAGAGAGAGAGGAGGAAGAAGGAGGCUGCUGUCUGAAUCAGCACUUCAUUCUUGUCUUUUUCUCUCUCUCUCUCCCUCUCUGUGUCAUAUUUUCUUUUAUUAACUACUAAAGGUGGUGUGGGAGACUGCACUACCUCCAUUCCUCUAUCCUUCAUUUCACAUUCUUCCCCCUCGUUCGCUCUUUCUUUCUCCCCCCACCUCGAUGCCCCACUCUCUCACGAUGAAGAGAUGAAGAGCAAUGAAUAGAGGACAUGAAGACAGUGUGUGCUGCAGCGUUGAGAAGGGAGGACAUCACACCUGGGUUCAGAGCAUAUCUCUCUUCGCUCUCUUUUUCCUCCCAACUCUUAGCUCUCAACACAGGCUGCUUUUUCGGCGCCAAGAGCCACAGAGACAUGGAAAGGAUUAUAGAUUUUCUUUGAAAAUGAAUUUGCAUGGACUGCUUUAUGGACUACCAAAACAAAUCAAACAGGAAACUCCUUUCUAAGAGAAAUUAAAAGCUUGUAAAAGAAAAUUAAUUUACUCCUGAAGUAAAAAAAUAUAUAUUUCAACGUUGUUUUUUUUAAGCAACUGGAAGAAAGAAAAAAAAUUGUUCCUUCAAAUUUGACAGAUUUUGUAUUGAAUGAGCACACCUUGUGAUUCCUAAGUCACUCUCUUCGAACUGAUACUCAAGCAUCUUAAAGAAAACUCAUUCUUCAGAACAAAAGUGGAAACUACUUUUAAAGACAAAAAUACAGGUUUACUUUUCAUUCAGCUUUGAAAAAAGUAUUUUUUUUUAAAUUGGAAAACGGAAAAAACAACCGAAGGGAAAAAAAGUUGAUUCUUUCUGUGGCAAACUUAUCAAGAACACCAAGUAACCACUCAGCCUAGCCUGUGAGCCAUCACAGAACAGAAGAAAAGGCAGAAUCUUUUUUUUUCUUUUCUUAACAUUUUUUUCCCCAGCGAGGGCACUGUGCCAAUUUUUAAAAAGGAGGAGUUCGAGAAAAAGGGGGAUUUGGCGACGGCGGGACUUUUUCAUUAUUUUUUUCCCUCUCUUUAUUCACGGAGGCUUUUCAACCGAAGAGAAGGUGGUUAAACUGUAAUCCAGUGACGCUUUGUCAGCCAGUGCUUGCUGAUUUUCUCAUUGAUUGGCUGUCUACUUCAGACACUCUCCCUCUCGCUCUCUCGCUCCCUCUUUCUCUCUCUCUCUCACUGUCUUUCUCCGCACUGUUGGUUAGGGUGGGAGCAGUUUUUUUCCCAGCCUAGAGAGUCUAGGAAAGCAGGAAAUAAGCAAGUUGAGCGCCAUACUUGACAGUAGGUGUGACCUCCCUGGCAGCAGCAGCGGGCGAUGUCCGGGUUCACUUUCGCCUGCUUCUGCGGCCUGCACAGCUUCUGCAACAGGAAGCGGAAAAAAAAACAAGAGCGGCAACGUGAGCAGGAGACGGUGGUGUGACUGAGCCACGCGCACCUGCUGGGGGUGCCACUGAGCUCUCCCUGCCCCACCCUGCUGUCAACUCAAACCACACUGCCCUCCAGUGACUGCUCAACAGAGAGCUCAGUGCACUGCGAUCACCCAGGGGCAGUGAGGGAGGGGUUUGUAACCUCCAAGGUGAGGUCACCAGGUUUGUUACCACAGUGAUUUCAAAUCCUAGUGCUCGGGGAAACCACUAACCAAAGCCCAUUAGGGUUGCCACCUAUCCCUGUCUUCCCUGCAUAGUUCUGGUUUUCUGGAAGGCACCCCAGGAUUUCAAUAUGCCUUCCCAGGACACUAAGAGUUCCUGGUUUUUAAAAUGAUCCCGUUUUUAAUCUUAUACUUCCAUAUAGAUAUACUACAGCAAUGCCAGUACUGUAAGUUAGAUCAAUCAAGAUCUUAUAUCAUUGCUGCAAUAGAUGCACUAUAUUAAUUGGUUGUCAAUACUACAAUUGUAAUGUUAUCAGUGUUACCUAUUGGAUGGCUGUAGGAUUUCUAGACAGUUUAAACUUUUAAAACCGUUCUGUUCAGAUGUCCCAGUUUUUGUGCCUCGGAGGUGGUAACCCUAAAGCUCAUAUGCCAGGCAAUUUUUACAAAACUUUUUCUGGGACAUUUUAAAGCAAGUGGUCGCCUACAACAAGGUGCUUCGUAAGUAUGUAGAAGCACCAUGCCCAAAAGUUGCCUCAUGUUUCAUGGGCAUAACUUGAAGCCAUAAUAAAUGCAAGGCCAGUGAAGAACAGGCAGCUUGUUCCUGCUACUUUUAAACGAAUUUGCUGGUGUUGCCAUUCAUAGGACAAGCAAAGAUCAAGUGAUAAAAGUCAUAAUUCGUGGUUUGAGAAUCUCAAAUAUAGCUGCUUUUAAAGGUGCCAGAAAAACCCUGGAAAGUUGUCUUGUGUUUUUGGCUAAUGUCUUCGAGUAGAAGUACUCUAUAGUGAUAUAAUUAUAAUUGAACACAUUUAUUUCCAGGAUCUGUUCAAAGCUUGAAUUCACUCAUUUAACAAAGCCUCAACAUUAUGCCUAUACUGUGUGUACAUUGUGAUAUAUGAUUUCAUAUAAAACAUACCGCUUAUAAAGGUUCUCUGUGGUAUUGUGUACAACAGCAAAAGCACGAAGAUGCAGGGAAGGAUGGUAAAAGACAAAAAAUAUGGUGUAACGUUUACCAUGGAAAACCUUUAUAAGGGCAAUAAAACAAAUUAUUCUUCAAGCUGACGGUUCAUGCAGAAUGCAGGCAAUUUUAUCUGCAAAGGAAAGUACCUAAUGAAAUGCAUGACUGAACAAACUAAUACAAGUCCUGGUUGAAAGCUGCAGUUUGCUAGUGGUUCCUCUGGACUGGGGUUAGGGAUCACUGUGCUUAAGCACACAGGAUAAAGGUCUGGAGUUUUAAAAUAAUAUGUUAGUGUCUGUACAGCAUUGCCAUUGUCCUUUAGCAGUUCAGUUAUUCCAAUACUGGGGUCUAUUUAAUUGAUUCAAUGCAAGCUCUGGUUAAGCAUUCAAUUAUUUACUUUUAAAGACAGUCCCACACAAUGCUGGAUAUGUGUCAAAAUCCCAUUCUUUUAAACAGUAUGAUCAAACUAAAGAAAGAUAAAAAAAAAAAAACACACACACACACACACAAAGAAAAACAUAUUGGGAAGACAACCAGACUGAUCUGAAAUGACAGCAUUGCGGGAGUAGACUUAAUGUCACAGAUAGCUAGCAAUACAAACGUGCGCGUGCGUGUGUGUGUGUGUGUGUGUGUGUGUAUCUGUGUGUGUUUGUAACGUCAAUCUAACACCCUUCAUUCACAAUCACGUUUUUAUUAUAGUGUGAGUGGAGUCUGACGAUAUUGGUCCACGGCCAUUUGUGCUGGAUUCGCAAUGUAAGACAGCACUGUACUUCACAUUCACGUUGGACUGUAAAAAAAGUUCUGUCUGUGGAUCCAGCAUUAUUGCACGCUUUCCAAAAACAAUUCCUGUCUUCUCCAUUUAAACGGUGAUCGAUGUCAGCUUUCUUUUGUUUUAUAGCGUAAUAUUAAUACUUAGAUUUAAUAUGAAUGUGCAUGAAAGGUGCUCAAAUGACCAAUUCUCCAGUUAGAAUCGGUUUUAAAUGUUAUAUAACCUAUUUUACCUUUGCGCACAGCACAUCCUUGUGGCCAUGUGAUGCCUUGCGAAUUUUCGAUUACAUGUCAGCUUAUUUUCAAUUGGCAAGGUCCUGAAAGAUCUUCCAUGUUCAUUUUACAAAGGUUACUUUUAAAUAUCUCAGGAUCAGCUUUCCUGCAUGUCUCCAACUGCAAAUUUAUGGCACCAGGUUUCUGAAUCAGCACGUGUCUAAUCAUCUUGAACCUGUUUAUAAGCUAACCAGAUUUUUACAAUUAUCCCACCCCCCCCAAAAAAAAACAACAUACUUAUUUGCAUUACCUAAUUCAAGAACCUGCAGGUUGGCCCUUGAGGGGCCACCUGGGGCCCACAGGCUAAAGACUGCACAAUAAACUGAUUAGCAUUAUUGUAAUGCCUUUAGACGAGAAUAGUAUAGGGGUUCUGUGCACAACAGUAUCACAGCAGAGAACCUUAAUAAGUACAUGGUCUGUAUAGGCUAGUGCAGUGCCCUAUAGGAGAGUACAGUACAUUACAGGGCUUUAUAGUUAGAAUGAAUUGUAUACUAGCUUUAAUAUUAUACUUAGAAAGAUUAUUGCAAUCUAUAGCAGCAGCCUUAUACUGGAGGUAUAAACUUUACCAGGUAUACAAGAAAAACAACACCUUGUUUGAAUAAAUAUAUAUUGCAGAGUUUGUUCUGUCCGUAUGCAGUAUAUUGUUGUAUCACUAUAUUAGUCUGAAACUGCAAUAAGGCUGGCCUGCUGUGAGUGUCUUUGCGUUGAGAUUGACAGUGAUUGAUAUCUUCAAUAUAUUUCAAUUGAAUCUAAGUGAGCCAGGGCAAAAGACAAACCUGUUUCCCUUUGAAAUCAACCCAGUUAUGCAUUGCACCCCUGCCUAAUUUGCACUGUUUACAUUUCACUUAAUCUUUAAAAAGCCACCCUGUCUCUCCGCAUCUAGCCUAUUAUAUCCAUUUAUGUGCCUCAUUUGCAUCAUUCCUCUAAUGGUUUCAAGGGAAGCAAUGCCUCUCAAAAUCUCAAAAUGAAAAAAAAAAUUAAAAAUGAUAUAUAUAGUUUAUAUAUUUAACCAAACCCUAUAUUAACAGCAGCAUUGUCCACAGCACUGGCAAUGACCGGUGGCGUAGUCUGAGCCCUGGUUUUAAUUGGAGCAGCAGCUCAUAACCUCCCACCCCUGCUGAGGCACAGCUGCAUGCUUGAUUAUGAGUGAAGUGUUGAAUAAUGGCAAUCGUAUUCGUAUUCAGUUUUCUGAAGGAGAUUUUUAAAAGUGACCAGUAAAAAAAAACAAAUAAAUAAAAAAAAUUCCAUCACAACGGUAGAACAAAUUUAAAAUCUUGAGCAGCAUGUUGUUGACUGCGGGAGUUCUGCUGAUUGGAAACACCUUUCAGCCUGUACCAGAUAAACUACUAUUCCCAGAAGACACUGCAAACCCAGAGGCCUGCUCGGUAUAUCGUUACUUUGUUCAUCGUCUGUUUAAGUUUGGCGAAUUAAGUCUAUAUAGGUUGCUUGAUUUUUUUUUGUCUGCUUUUUCCUGCGGCAACAACUUUGUUCCGAAAAUCUUUUAUGCAAAGUAUGUUAGCGACGUGGUCUUGAAAUCAAAAUGCUAUAUCAAUUUUGUAUACAGUCCAUUUUCAAACGCGCGCUGAGAAUGUGUAACAGUUAAGUAUAUUACAAUAAACCAUGAUGUGUUACUGUCA